AACGAACGCUGGCGGCGUGCCUAACACAUGCAAGUCGAGCGCGAAAAGGGCAACCUGAGUAGAGCGGCGCACGGGUGCGUAACACGUGGGCAAUCUGCCUUAGAGUCGAGGAUAACCUUCCGAAAGGUUGGCUAAUACUCGGUAAGCUUACGGUGUCUUCGGACGCUGUGGGAAAAGUAGGCCUCUGUUUACAAGCUUACGCUCUGAGAUGAGCCCGCGGCCCAUCAGCUAGUUGGCGGUGUAACGGACCACCAAGGCAACGACGGGUAGCUGGUCUGAGAGGACGAUCCGCCACACUGGAACUGAGACACGGUCCAGACUCCUACGGGAGGCAGCAGUGGGGAAUUUUCCACAAUGGGCGAAGGCCUGAUGGAGCAACGCAGCGUGUGUGAUGAGGGUUUUCGGAUCGUAAAGCACUUUCGACCGGGACGAAAAACCUCUGGCUAACAUCCAGGGGCCUGACGGUACCGGGAGAAGAAGCACCGGCUAACUCUGUGCCAGCCGCCGCAGUAA
rnacentral:rRNA from 1 species